ACAUGAAUAUCUGUUAGGAGUCACCUUUGGCUAAGUACUUUCAUGACAAUAGAAUAUCUGAUAAGACCACUAUGGUUGGUACGACUAUGGUCAUAGAUCGUACCAUGGUUUGGCAAGCUAGAAACGUGUCUGAGCAAAUUGCAAUUAUUUAUAUAUGAUCUCAUCAUUCCACAUGGGUAGUUAAAAAUCUGUAUCUGCCUUUAGAGAUAGAAGUCGUAACGACU
rnacentral:lncRNA from 1 species